CCAAGUUGAGCCUGAAGAAAGAAAGAAAAGACCUCAAACUUUCUCACCCUGGAAUGCACACAUUGCUAUGAGGGAAAUGAGUUACUGAGAAGCUGGGAUUUAAAGUCAAAUGUGGAGCACAGAAUUUGGCCAGAAUCCCAAGAGCUGUACCUGAGCUGUUCAGUUAUCCAUUUCUGCUGAAUAAAAGGCUGAUACUUUACCAUUCCGUUGUGUGAGAUGGUGAUUUGUCCUGUGCUUAGAAAGACAUAACUCUUGUAAGUUAUAGAUGCAAUUACCUGUAUAUUGGCAAACUCUUGAAUACACAGUCUUGCUUUCUAAGUGAUUAAAGAAA